rnacentral:rRNA from 1 species
CAAUAGCGUAUAUUAAAGUUGUUGCAGUUAAAAAGCUCGUAGUUGGAUUUCUGGUCGGAAGCUCCUGUCCUCUGAUGAGCGUACAAGUGCGUCCUACCAUCCUUCUGUUAACCUUUAAGGCUUUCGCGGCUUUCUAGGGGCUCAGAUAUUUUACCUUGAGAAAAUUAGGGUGUUUCAGGCAGGCUAGCGCCGGAAUACAUUAGCAUGGAAUAAUGGAAUAGGACUUUUGCCUCUUCUGUUGGUCAUGAGGCUCGAGUAAUGAUUAAUAGGGAUAGUUGGGGGCAUUAGUACUUAACUGUCAGAGGUGAAAUUCUCGGAUUUGUUAAAGACUAACUUAUGCGAAAGCAUUUGCCAAGGAUGUUUNCAUUA